rnacentral:rRNA from 1 species
UACGGGGGGGGCAAGCGUUGUUCGGAAUUACUGGGCGUAAGGGGCUCGUAGGCGGCCAACUAAGUCAGACGUGAAAUCCCUCGGCUUAACCGGGGAACUGCGUCUGAUACUGGAUGGCUCGAGUUUGGGAGAGGGAUGCGGAAUUCCAGGUGUAGCGGUGAAAUGCGUAGAUAUCUGGAGGAACACCGGUGGCGAAGGCGGCAUCCUGGACCAACACUGACGCUCAGGCACGAAAGCGUGGGGAGCAAACAGG